rnacentral:rRNA from 1 species
AUCCCUGAUAAGUGAGAACUCCUGGAAUGGAUUCUCGCUGAAAGGACGUUUAGACCAUGCUUCUAGGCGUCGCCCAAGGAGGGGGCCGCGACCGAUCAGGUUGUUGGUGAGGUAACGGCUCACCAAGCCUUUAACCGGUACGGGCCGUGAGAGCGGAAGCCCGGAGAUGGGCACUGAGACAAGGGCCCAGGCCCUACGGGGCGCAGCAGUCGCGAAAACUCCGCAAUACACGAAAGUGUGACGGGGCUAUCCCGAGUGCCAUCCGCUGAGGAUGGCUUUUCCCCAGUGUAUAAAGCUGGGGGAAUAAGGAGAGGGCAAGCCUGGUGUCAGCCGCCGCGGUAAUACCAGCUCUCCGAGUGGUGGGGAUGUUUAUUGGGCCUAAAGCAUUCGUAGCCUGCUUGGCAAGUCCUCCGUUAAAUCCAACGAUUCAAUCGUUGGGCUGCGGGGGAUACUGUCCGGCUAGGGGGCGGGAGAGGCCGACGGUAUCCUCGGGGUAGGGGUGAAAUCCUAUAAUCCCGGGAGGACCACCAGUGGCGAAGGCUGUCGGCUAGAACGCGCUCGACGGUGAGGGAUGAAAGCUGGGGGAGCGAACCGGAUUAGAUACCCGGGUAGUCCCA